rnacentral:rRNA from 1 species
GACGAACGCUGGCGGCGUGCUUAACACAUGCAAGUCGAACGGAAAGGCCUGCUUUCCCUUGUGGAUUGCGGGUACUCGAGUGGCGAACGGGUGAGUAACACGUGAGUGAUCUGCCCCCAACUUGGGUAUAAGCCUGGGGAACUGGGUCUAAUUCCCGAUAGGACUGCAGGGUGGUGCCUGUGGUGGAAAACGAUUUUCUAGUGGUUGGGGAUGAGCUCGCGGCCUAUCAGCUUGUUGGUGGGGUAAUGGCCUACCAAGGCGGCGACGGGUAGCCGGCCUGAGAGGGUGGACGGCCACAUUGGGACUGAGAUACGGCCCAGACUCCUACGGGAGGCAGCAGUGGGGAAUAUUGCACAAUGGGCGGAAGCCUGAUGCAGCGACGCCGCGUGGGGGAUGACGGCCUUCGGGUUGUAAACUCCUUUCGACCGCGAGGAAGCCACCUGGUUGGAAGGGUGGUGACGGUAGUGGUAGAAGAAGCACCGGCUAACUACGUG